ACCGCUGAGCCAUCUCUCCAGCCCCUUUAUUUUGGUUUUUCAUUAUCAGCCUAAAAACUGAUGUCAAGGGCUGGAGAGAUGGCUCAGUGGU
rnacentral:pre_miRNA from 1 species